GAGUUUGAUCAUGGCUCAGGAUGAACGCUAGCGGCAGGCCUAACACAUGCAAGUCGAGGGGUAACAGGGAAAAGCUUGCUUUUCCGCUGACGACCGGCGCACGGGUGCGUAACGCGUAUGCAACCUACCUUUUACAGGAGUAUAGCCCAGAGAAAUUUGGAUUAAUCCUCCAUAAUAUCUUAAUCAUGCAUAUGAUAAAGAUUAAAGCUUCGGUGGUAAAGGAUGGGCAUGCGUUUUAUUAGCUAGUAGGUGAGGUAACGGCUCACCUAGGCCACGAUAAAUAGGGGCCCUGAGAGGGGGAUCCCCCACACUGGUACUGAGACACGGACCAGACUCCUACGGGAGGCAGCAGUGAGGAAUAUUGGACAAUGGACGAAAGUCUGAUCCAGCCAUGCCGCGUGCAGGAUGACGGCCCUAUGGGUUGUAAACUGCUUUUAUACAGGAAGAAACACUCCCACGUGUGGGGGCUUGACGGUACUGUACGAAUAAGGAUCGGCUAACUCCGUGCCAGCAGCCGCGGUAAUACGGAGGAUCCAAGCGUUAUCCGGAAUUAUUGGGUUUAAAGGGUCCGCAGGCGGUCUAUUAAGUCAGAGGUGAAAUCUUGCAGCUCAACUGUAAAAUUGCCUUUGAUACUGGUAGACUUGAGUCAUUGUGAAGUGGUUAGAAUGUGUAGUGUAGCGGUGAAAUGCAUAGAUAUUACACAGAAUACCAAUUGCGAAGGCAGAUCACUAACAAUGUACUGACGCUCAUGGACGAAAGCGUGGGGAGCGAACAGGAUUAGAUACCCUGGUAGUCCACGCCGUAAACGAUGGAUACUAACUGUUCGUCCGCCUCGGCGGAUGAGUGGUUAAGCGAAAGUGAUAA
rnacentral:rRNA from 1 species